CGAAAUUGCUGAUUCUGGUCCAUUUUGACCUUCAGUGACCUCACAGAGUUGACACUGUGAGGUAGUACAGGGGAACUCUUGGACAGAGAAAUCUGGCCAUUCUGGAUAUUGCUGACUUAGGGCACAGUUGGGAAACAGCCUUGAGUAUGUCUGAGAUGGUGAUGACAUGAGACAUCUGAUGGCAGUCCCAGAGAACUUACUUCUGCUUCUGCUUUCCUAAAUGCCUCCAGUGUGUUUCACAAUUUGGUGACUUUCCUUGAAAGUGUCCCUCUACCCAGGAAACAUGUUAAUCUAAAAAGAAAGAGUCAUGGGCCAGCAAUUCAGAGUUCUUCAGCUAAUGUUGACACCCUUCCUUAAUCUACCACCUUCUUCGUGAAUGUUGGAGCCAUGGAAGCCAUGCUUCUUUUGCUGUUUGGCAGAUCUAUGAGAAGGGUUGCCUGAUUGCCUUGCCUGGAGUGGAGUAAGGGCUGAAACUCUACUCAGCUGCUGCUACUUAAUACAUCAAGUAAAAUCUCCUUUCAUAAGAUUUCUAUUCAUUUAAAUUGCUUUAGAGACUUGAAAACACCAACCACAACAGCCUGAAUCUUCCUGCCUCCAUCCCACUCAGACUCAGGAUUUUAGCUUCUACAAAUAAAAUACUUGGGGGCCAAUUGUCUUUCUGAAUGUGUUCAGGUCAGUGGGCUCCACUGGCCUACAGCUUCCCUGACCUCAAUUUCUUUCUCCAUUCUUUUUCACAAGCUAUUUUUGGUGAUGUCCAGUACAAAAGAUAGAGCAUGUCCCAGUUUGCUCUCUAUUACUGUGAUAAAGGUCACGAUCAAAAGCAGCAUGGAGAGGAAAGGGUUUAUUUGACAAUCAGAUCCAUCCCAAUCACAGCUGAACGGAAGUCAGGGCAGACAAUCAAGGCAGGAACCUGGAGACAGGAACUGAAACAGAGGCCAUUGAAGAGUAGCUGCUCACAGGCUUGCUUUCCACAGCCUGCUCAGCUUUUUUAUAACACUUAGGAUAACCUGCCUGGGAUGGCACUGCCAAUAGUGGCAUUGUCCUUCCCACAUUGAUAACUAAUAAAGAAAAUGCCCCAGACACUUGCCUGAUGGAGGUAGUCCUUCAAUUAUGGUACCUUGUCUACAUGACUCUAGCUUGUGUUGAAUUGACAAAAGAAGUCAAACCAGCCAACCAACCAGCCAACCAACCAGCCAGUCAGUCAGCCAACCAAAGCUAACCAACCAACCAACCAGCCAACCAAAGUCAACCAACCAACCAACCAAUCAACCAACCAACCAACCAACCAAUCAACCAACGAACCAACCAACCAACCAACCAACCAAUCAACCAAUGAACCAACCAACCAACCAACCAACCAACCAACCAACCAACCAACCAAC